AACCAGGAGGAGGAACCCACACCAGCGGACAGUGUGCUCGACCUCUCCAAGCGGAACUCUGCCAGCUCGGCGUCCACGUCACCCACCAUUCACAAAGCCUCAGGGAGGCAGCAGCAGCGUUGGGGAGCAGCCGGGGCGUACCAGACCGAGGAACACCAUGCCCAGAGGUCCAGUGAGCUGUCUGUGGGGCUGCUGUCCAAGGCUCUGAGAGACGUGAGGUCUGGUCGUCUCCGGGAGAACAGAGCUGCCCUUCUCUACGGGAUCCCCCUUGAAAUCUUGCGCUCAGAGCUGG